GUCCUGACUGUUACAGCUGCCUCCAGGCCCAGAGGCACAAGCCGCCGCUAUCUCAGCGCAGGGAAUUAGCUGUCUCCUGUACCCAGGAUUGCCUUGUCCCGAGCGCGAUUAGAUGUGACCUGUGACUGGGACGAAAGUCCGCCCUCCUUGUCGCGUUGCACUUUGAGUUGUUUUCCAGGCAGCUGGCAGCCCCCUCGGAGGGAACAGGACUGAACCCAGCAGGGUGGGAGAUUGCCUGGCCCCCAGCCCCAAACCUUAUUCCACAAGGCCGGGCACCCAGCCCCAUCUCGGCAGGCGCUUCAGGGGCUGGGAACACGUGGGGAUUGGAGAAGCAGCCCCCAAAGGAUCUGUACGGGCCAGGAGGGGACAGGCGGCAGCUGGGCCUGAGCAGGUUCGUUCCCCAGCAGCGGAGAUUCUCCUCCAAGGAUCCACUCCGGAGAGCAGCUUUAGCGCCUGAGCCGGAGGCUGGUUGGUCACUGCAGAUCCCAUAUCCCCCUUCGCCUGCCCACAUCCGUCCUCAUGGGCUCCAACUCCCGGCUGGGUUACACCAAGAUGAAGAUCUACGCAGAAAAAGAGGAUGUCACUCUGGACCCAGACACAGCUCACCCCAGUCUGACCCUUUCCAAGGACAGGAGAAGUGUGACAGUCACAAACACAAGGCUGGCUCUGGCCAAUGACCCGGGGAGAUUCG